rnacentral:rRNA from 1 species
UGGGGAAUUUUGCACAAUGGGCGCAAGCCUGAUGCAGCAACGCCGCGUGUGUGAUGAAGGUCUUCGGAUCGUAAAGCACUUUCGACCGGGACGAACACCCCUCCGCUAACAUCGGAGGGCCUGACGGUACCGGGAGAAGAAGCACCGGCUAACUCUGUGCCAGCAGCCGCGGUAAUACAGAGGGUGCAAGCGUUGUUCGGAAUUAUUGGGCGUAAAGCGCGUGUAGGCGGCCGUGCAAGUCGGGUGUGAAAUCCCUCAGCUCAACUGAGGAAGUGCGCCCGAAACUGCAUAACUUAAAUACCGGAGAGGGUCGCGGAAUUCCCCAAGUAGAGGUGAAAUUCGUAGAUAUGGGGAGGAACACCGGUGGCGAAGGCGGCGACCUGGACGGAUACUGACGCUGAGACGCGAAAGCGUGGGGAGCAAACAGG